rnacentral:tRNA from 1 species
GCCCGGGUGGCGAAAUUGGUAGACGCGCAACGUUGAGGUCGUUGUCCUGAUUUAUCGGGGUGGAAGUUCAAGUCUUCUCUCGGGCACCA